AGAAAAUGAGGCCAGAAGAUAAUUUGGAAACCAGGAGAACUGAGACAAGGGACAAGGUGUCACCAUGUUGCCCAGGCUGGUCUUGAACUCCUGGGAUCAAGGAAUCCUCCUGCCUCAGCCUCCCAAAGUGCUAGAAUUAGAGACGUGAGGCACCACACCACCUACCUUUAUAUUUAAGCAACAGUUUGACUGCAUACAAAAUUCCUGGGUCACAUCUCUUUGCUGGAGGAUUUUAUUGGCUCUGAGAAGCUGACUUUUAUUGAUCGCAUAAACGGGGAUGCUUU
rnacentral:lncRNA from 1 species